rnacentral:rRNA from 1 species
UUAAGUAGACCGCCUGGGGAGUACGGCCGCAAGGUUAAAACUCAAAUGAAUUGACGGGGGCCCGCACAAGCGGUGGAGCAUGUGGUUUAAUUCGAUGCAACGCGAAGAACCUUACCUGGUCUUGACAUCCACAGAAGAAUCCAGAGAUGGAUUUGUGCCUUCGGGAACUGUGAGACAGGUGCUGCAUGGCUGUCGUCAGCUCGUGUUGUGAAAUGUUGGGUUAAGUCCCGCAACGAGCGCAACC